rnacentral:rRNA from 1 species
GACGUAGGGAGCGAGCGUUGUCCGGAUUCAUUGGGCGUAAAGCGCGCGUAGGCGCCUCGCAAGUCGGUUGUGAAAUCCCGGGGCUCAACCCCGGGACUGCGUCCGAUACUGCGAGGCUGGAGGUAGGUAGGGGGAGAUCGGAAUUCCUGGUGUAGCGGUGAAAUGCGUAGAGAUCAGGAAGAACACCGGUGGCGAAGGCGCUCUGCUAGGCCGCAACUGACACUGAGGGACGAAAGCUAGGGGAGCGAAUGGG